rnacentral:rRNA from 1 species
UACGUAGGGUGCAAGCGUUGUCCGGAAUUAUUGGGCGUAAAGAGCUCGUAGGCGGUCUGUCGCGUCGGCUGUGAAAACCCGGAGCCCAACUCCGGGCCUGCAGUCGAUACGGGCAGACUGGAGUUCGGCAGGGGAGACUGGAAUUCCUGGUGUAGCGGUGAAAUGCGUAGAUAUCAGGAGGAAUACCGAUGGCGAAGGCAGGUCUCUGGGCUGACACUGACGCUCAUGCACGAAAGCGUGGGGAGCAAACAGG